CGGGGCAGUUACAAGCUCCUGUUCAGAUUAAAGGAGUGGGAAUAUAAAGCCUACCUCUCAGUAAAAGGAAUGUCAGUCACAUUAUAAGAUGGAGAUGUGAGAUAGGAUAUACAGAUGGAGUGUCCCUCUGUCACCUAGGCUGGAGUGCAGUGGUGCCAUCUUACCUCACUGCAACCUUCACCUCCGGGUUCAAGCGAUUCUUCUGGCUCAGCCUCCCAAGUAGCUGGGAUUAUAGUGAGUUUAGCCAGCAGAAUGGUGCUUCUUUUUCCAGUGCUCCUUAUACCAUGUAUAGUGAUUGGGAGGAAGACUGUUAAGGUUUGUGUCCAGAUAGCACCCAAAUUCUG